rnacentral:rRNA from 1 species
GACGAACGCUGGCGGCGUGCUUAACACAUGCAAGUCGAGCGGUAAGGCCCUUUCGGGGGUACACGAGCGGCGAACGGGUGAGUAACACGUGGGUGACCUGCCCUCAGCUCUGGGAUAAGCCUGGGAAACUGGGUCUAAUACUGGAUAUGACUCCACGGUGCAUGUCGUGGGGUGGAAAGCCUUGUGCGGCUGAGGAUGGGCCCGCGGCCUAUCAGCUUGUUGGUGGGGUGAUGGCCUACCAAGGCGACGACAGGUAGCCGGCCUGAGAGGGCGACCGGCCACACUGGGACUGAGACACGGCCCAGACUCCUACGGGAGGCAGCAGUGGGGAAUCUUGCGCAAUGGGCGAAAGCCUGACGCAGCGACGCCGCGUGAGGGAUGACGGCCUGGUGUAA